rnacentral:misc_RNA from 1 species
AUUUGUAAAUUUGUAAUAUAUGCAUAUAUAUAUGUAUUACGAUAAUCAAUACAAUAUACAAUUUAUAACUAAUAUUCGAAUGUUAAAUUGAAAUCACAAAACAUAAAUUGAAGAUGUGUUCUUGCGACAGUUGUGAAUGUAUGGACUACGUCUGCUGUACGCCCAGAGGAAAAGCCGUUUUUUUCUCACUUUGGACUAUUGUUAAUAGCGCAAUUGCCAUUGCUUUUUUGAGCUAUGCUGAUGGAAGCGCUUGGUAUAUGUACAUCUCUUAUGCCGUGACAGCUUUGCAUGUUUUGGGCGGUAUUCUGCUGCUGCUCGGCGUUCUAAGGCCCUUUAAAAAUAUAUUAUACUGUGAAUAGAGUAUUGCACAGUCGGCUAUACCAAAUUGCAACGUUCUUACUAGUUUCUUUUUAUCUAGCACUGGGCAAAGUGUUUUCUUACUGGCAUUAUUAUAAGCUCUUUUUUUCCAUACUGGUUCAUAUACUUUAUUUACUUAGCAGUCGUCCAAUUGAUCUUUACAAUUACCUCUUGCAGAUAUUAUAGCACUGUACUAAAGAAGAGUUCAGAUAACCAUUAAAUUAAACUCAUCGAGUAGAUUAAUUAAAUUGCGGAUAGUACAUUUUACAAAUUUUAAUGAUUUGGUGCAAGACCGUCAACUCAGAAACGUAGACAGCACAUUCAAUUAUUGGGCUCAAAUGCAUAUAUUCUCAAUUUAUGACCUGAGAGAUUGGACAUUGUGGGGCAAAGGAAAGAAGCAUAGCCAAUGCAUUACAUGCAGAUUAUAAUGAAUGAUGAUUAAGCCUCUAUAUGCAUAUCAGUAUUGCCUGGCCUUUAUUCGUUGCAAUACUUUGUGGCUGAUUGAUCGUUAAGAGUUGACUUUGGCUUUUGGAUCAUUUGGAUGAAUACGAUCUUCUAUUGCCCGAGAAAAUAACCACUAAGAUUGUUGAAAUUGACGACAUUUGGAACAUAAUCUGUGAGAACCAGGAGCAGCCUGCAUGAUCUUAAUGCUUUGCAGGUAGGCUUGAACCUGGUUGAUGCUGUUCCUGUCGAUAUGGCAGCAGAGCGUCAUUCUAAUAUCUAGCUCAUGAGGCGGAAUCUGUCUUUACCGGAGUCCAUCAUCCAGGCUUACCUUCAAGAACCUUCUGAAGCAUUUUGAAGAUUCUUUUAUGUACUCUUUCUAUAGCUAUCUUUUCAGUGUAAAUA